rnacentral:rRNA from 1 species
UACGUAGGGUGCGAGCGUUGUCCGGAAUUAUUGGGCGUAAAGAGCUUGUAGGCGGUUUGUCGCGUCUGCCGUGAAAAUUCGAGGCUCAACCUCGAACUUGCGGUGGGUACGGGCAGACUAGAGUGUGGUAGGGGAGACUGGAAUUCCUGGUGUAGCGGUGAAAUGCGCAGAUAUCAGGAGGAACACCGGUGGCGAAGGCGGGUCUCUGGGCCGAGUAACUGACACUGAGGAGCGAAAGCGUGGGGAGCGAACAGG